CGCGGGGGGAGCAAGCGUUGUUCGGAAUUACUGGGCGUAAAGCGCACGUAGGCGGAUUUGUAAGUCAGGGGUGAAAUCCCGGGGCUCAACCUCGGAACUGCCUUUGAUACUGCAAAUCUCGAGUCCGGAAGAGGUGAGUGGAAUUCCUAGUGUAGAGGUGAAAUUCGUAGAUAUUAGGAAGAACACCAGUGGCGAAGGCGGCUCACUGGUCCGGUACUGACGCUGAGGUGCGAAAGCGUGGGGAGCAAACAGG
rnacentral:rRNA from 1 species